UACGAAGGUGGCGAGCGUUGUUCGGAUUCACUGGGCAUAAAGGGCGCGUAGCGGUGCCGUAAGCGGCGAGUGAAAUCCCAGGCUCAACCCUGGGACUGCUCGCCGUAUUGCGGUGCUCGAGUGCGGGAGGGGGGUGUGGAACUCUAGGUGGAGCGGUGAAAUGCGUAGAUAUCGAGAGGAACACCUGCGGCGAAGGCGGGGUUGCUGGGGCU
rnacentral:rRNA from 1 species